CUACGGGAUGCACCAGUGAGGAAUAUUGCACAAUGGAGGAAACUCUGAUGCAGCAACGCCGCGUGGAGGAUGACGCAUUUCGGUGUGUAAACUCCUUUUAUAUGUCAAGAAAAUGACGGUAGCAUAUGAAUAAGCACCGGCUAACUCCGUGCCAGCAGCGCGGUAAUACGGGGGGUGCAAGCGUUACUCGGAAUCACUGGGCGUAAAGGACGCGUAGGCGGGAUAGCAAGUCAGGUGUGAAAUCCUACAGCUUAACUGUAGAACUGCACUUGAAACUGGUAACCUAGAGUAUGGGAGGGGGAGAUGGAAUUAAUGGUGUAGGGGUAAAAUCCGUAGAUAUCACUAGGAAUACCUAAAGCGAAGGCGAUCUCCUGGAACAUAACUGACGCUAAGGCGUGAAAGCGUGGGGAGCAAACAGGAUUAGAUACCCCCGUAGUC
rnacentral:rRNA from 1 species